rnacentral:rRNA from 1 species
UACGUAGGGUGCAAGCGUUAAUCGGAAUUACUGGGCGUAAAGCGUGCGCAGGCGGUUGUGCAAGACAGGUGUGAAAACCACGGGCUUAACUCGUGGCCUGCAGUUGAGACUGUCUGGCUUGAGUGUGGGAGAGGAGAGUGGAAUUCCUGGUGUAGCGGUGAAAUGCGUAGAUAUCAGGAGGAGCGCCGGUGGCGACGGCGGCUCCCUGGACCACAACUGACGCUGAGGCGCGAAAGCUAGGGGAGCAAACAGG